GUUUUGAAGAAAAAAACCAAACAAAACCAGGAGCUACAGUUCUACCCAUAUCCAAGAGAAGAUGGUAACUCUACCAUAGAAGAUGUGAGGUAAGAUGGACAGCAGAUGACCCUGGAAGAGAUGGAAUCUAGAAGUUGGUUACAGAGAUAAGCUCAAUGACUAUCAGCUCAGCAACAUUUGUGAAUAGAAAGAUGCCUCUCCCAACAAGACUUAUAGACAUGGAGGGAAACCACAAGUUUUGGCACUGGCUUAAAUACAGCAAAAAACAAAAGAGGAGAGGCUGCUUUUCGGUAGCAAAUGUGUAGCAACAUGGACAGCAGAUGACCUUGAAGAAAGAGAUGAAGAACAGAAGCUGGGUACAGAGAGUUGCUCAGUGACUGAGAGAUCCUGGGCAUUUCCUGAGUGCAGAGCGAAGAUGUGAUGCUGCCCUGCUGAGAGAGAAUGUCACCAGAGGUGAUCCUAAAGAUUCAUAAGUGUUCCCUGCACACAUC